rnacentral:rRNA from 1 species
GCGACGGGUAGAGUAACGCGUAUACCAACCUUCCUAUACAGAGGAUACGCCGGCGAAAGUCGGAUUAAUACUCUAUGUUCUUCGUAGAAGACAUCUGAAAUGAAGCAAAGGUUUACCGGUAUAGGAUGGGGAUGCGUCUGAUUAGGUUGUUGGCGGGGUAACGGCCCACCAAGCCCACGAUCAGUAGGGGUUCUGAGAGGAAGGUCCCCCACAUUGGAACUGAGACACGGUCCAAACUCCUACGGGAGGCAGCAGUGAGGAAUAUUGGUCAAUGGACGAGAGUCUGAACCAGCCAAGUAGCGUGCAGGAUGACGGCCCUAUGGGUUGUAAACUGCUUUUAUACAGGGAUAAAGUGCACUACGUGUAGUGUUUUGUAGGUACUGUAUGAAUAAGGACCGGCUAAUUCCGUGCCAGCCGCCGC